UCUUUCUAGGAACACUUUCCAGUACCCCUACUUUGUUACGACUUAUUCCAAUUUUUAAAUGAAAGUGACGGGCAAUAUGUACAUAUUUCAAUUUUUAAUCAUUUUAUUAAAUUAAAUAAAAUUACAUUUAAAUCCACUUUCAAAUAAUUAUUUCAAAAUUAUUAUUCAUUUAUAUAAUUAUAUUGUAAUCCAUCUUCACUUUAAUUAUUAUCUACAUCUUGAUCUGAAUUAAUUUUUUAUUUAAAUUUUAAAAUAUUAUUUUUUAUAAAAAAUAUUUUUUUAACAACGAUAUAUAAAAUUAUAAAUUAAAUAUGCAUUAUUCGUGGAUUAUCAAUUACUAGACAGAUUCCUCUAAAUGAACUAAAAUACCGCCAAAUUAUUUAAGUUUCAAUAAAUAAAUUAUAUACUAUUUUAGUUAAUUUAAUUAAUUUUUU
rnacentral:rRNA from 1 species